rnacentral:lncRNA from 1 species
CUAAUAUUAAUAUUACUUAUUAUAUUUAUAAAUUGCAAUAUUGCGAUAUUUGUAUCUUGUAAGUUAGUAAUUAUUAUGAUUUAUAAAUAUUUCAUCGUCUAUUGUUGUUCUUGUGUACUCGAGAGGAGGAUCGUUACGAUACCCUUCAAAUGAAAGUAAAUGUCUUAAAUGGCAGAUUGCUCUGAGACGAGAAGACGUUAAUGAUUAACUCUGGAGGCCAUCACCAUAUGUGAACAACACUUCACGGCAGAAGAUUUCCGAGUGGCAAGGCAAAAUCUAUCUUCCGUGGGAGGAAAAGCAUAUCGGCAUUUGAAACGAGAUGCAGUCCCAUCUAUUGUUCCUUGGUUACAAGCAAGUAAAAAUCCAGAUUAAUAAAAUCUUCGUUUGAUCAACAUUGAAAAUGGGGCAUGUUUAAAGUCUUUAUUUCUUCCGGUAAAAAAUUAAUUUAUGAGCUCAUACUUUUUUAAAGAAUGGUAACAUAAUUACCGAUGAUAACGGCAUGAUUAUGACUCCUUUUCAAUACUUGGAUAUGUUAGUAGAGGAAGUACAGACUGAGAACAUCAACUAAGGUAUUUUAAGUACAAAACAAGAAGAAGAUUACCAAUCAGAUCCGUUGACCACAAAUGAGCAAUAGGUCCAAACUACCUCUACCAAAGAAGACCUCCUUCGACCUAUGUUCUCAAUCUAAAACUUUAUUAAUAAUCACUCAGGUUCAAAAAUGGUCUUUUCCAUUUCUAAUCAAAUAUUUGAAGAACUCUUCAUCAUCACUUUCUUGUGUAAUAUGGAAAUAACUAUUUCUUACUAAUUUUUAAUAAUAUUAUAAUAUUUAAACAAGA